rnacentral:rRNA from 1 species
UACGGGGGGGGCAAGCGUUGUUCGGAAUUACUGGGCGUAAAGGGCUCGUAGGCGGCCAACUAAGUCAGACGUGAAAUCCCUCGGCUUAACCGGGGAACUGCGUCUGAUACUGGAUGGCUGGAGUUUGGGAGAGGGAUGCGGAAUUCCAGGUGUAGCGGUGAAAUGCGUAGAUAUCUGGAGGAACACCGGUGGCGAAGGCGGCAUCCUGGACCGACACUGACACUGAGGAGCGAAAGCCAGGGGAGCAAACGGG